rnacentral:rRNA from 1 species
UGAGGAAUAUUGCUCAAUGGGAGAAAUCCUGAAGCAGCAACGCCGCGUGGAGGAUGAAGGGUCUAUGACUUGUAAACUCCUGUAAAGAAGGAAAAAAUUCCCAUUUGAUGGGAGAUGAUGGUACUUCUGGAGUAAGCCCCGGCUAACUACGUGCCAGCAGCCGCGGUAAUACGUAGGGGGCAAGCGUUGUCCGGAUUUACUGGGUGUAAAGGGUGCUCAGGCGGAUUUGUAAGUCAGAGGUGAAAUCUUACAGCUUAACUGUGAAACUGCCUUGGAUACUGCAAGCCUAGAGUAUGGAAGAGAGUGAUGGAAUAUCUGGUGUAGCAGUGAAAUGCGUAGAUAUCAGAUAGAACACCAAUGGCGAAGGCAGUCACUUGGUCCAUUACUGACGCUAAAGCACGAAAGCGUGGGUAGCAAACA